GUGGGGAAUCUUCCGCAAUGGACGAAAGUCUGACGGAGCAACGCCGCGUGAGUGAUGACGGCCUUCGGGUUGUAAAGCUCUGUUAAUCGGGACGAAAGGCCUUCUUGCGAAUAGUUAGAAGGAUUGACGGUACCGGAAUAGAAAGCCACGGCUAACUACGUGCCAGCAGCCGCGGUAAUACGUAGGUGGCAAGCGUUGUCCGGAAUUAUUGGGCGUAAAGCGCGCGCAGGCGGAUUGGUCAGUCUGUCUUAAAAGUUCGGGGCUUAACCCCGUGAUGGGAUGGAAACUGCCAAUCUAGAGUAUCGGAGAGGAAAGUGGAAUUCCUAGUGUAGCGGUGAAAUGCGUAGAUAUUAGGAAGAACACCAGUGGCGAAGGCGACUUUCUGGACGAAAACUGACGCUGAGGCGCGAAAGCCAGGGGAGCGAACGGGAUUAGAAACCCGAGUAGUCC
rnacentral:rRNA from 1 species